UACGAGGGGGGCUAGCGUUGCUCGGCAUCACUGGGCGUAAAGCGCACGUAGGCGGCUUCUUAUGUCAGAGGUGGAAUCCUGGGGGUCAACCCCAUAACUGCCCUUAAUACUGAGGAGCUUGAGUCCGAGAGAGGUGAGUGGUACUCCGGGUGUAGAGGUAAAAUUCGUUGAUAUUCGGGAGAACACCAGAGGCGAAGGCGGCCAACUGGCUCGGUACUGACGCUGACGUGCGAAAGCGUGGGGAGCAAACAGG
rnacentral:rRNA from 1 species